AUACGGAGGGUGCAAGCGUUACUCGGAGUCACUGGGCGUAAAGCGCGCGCAGGCGGCUAUUUAAGUUGGAUGUGAAAGCCUACGGCUCAACCGUAGAACUGCAUCCAAAACUAUUUAGCUAGAGUGUGGGAGAGGAAGAUGGAAUUAGUUGUGUAGGGGUAAAAUCCGUAGAGAUAACUAGGAAUACCAAAAGCGAAGGCAAUCUUCUGGAACACUACUGACGCUGAGGCGCGAAAGCGUGGGGAGCAAACGGGAUUAGAUACCCCAGUAGUCC
rnacentral:rRNA from 1 species